UGUGUCUGGAUAAACCUGACAGAAUUGGCAGGGGACAACAUGGGACAAAGUAGGACAGGGUGAGAUGCUUGUCUGGGUAUCUGUGGGAGAUUUCUGAGAUGUCCCAGGGGACUGUGGAAGUGAUGGCACUUAUCUUCAUCUGUGCUGUGUUUUAUUAAAUAAUGGUGAAGACCGUGAGAGCUGGAAAAGAGGAGAGGGGGUAAGGCCAAGUGAGAGGAUGUGGGAACAAGGUGUGUGUUGGAAAAUGAAGAGACUGUGCAGGUGGCCAGGCAGAGAUGGCAAUGCUGUGCUCCAGACUCGGGGGAAUUGCAGCACGGUGUGUUUUCCCGUGGGAACUGGCAGUGGGUGCGUAUCUUUUCCCCACCCAUUUAAACACUCUUGCUCUAGCCGGGUACCCUCCGACUGAGGGCCAGGGACCCGGGCACCGGUGCAGAGGAAGCUCUGACGAACACACACCGGCACCCGGCCGUGCUGACAGAUCUUCCACGCCGGUGGCAGCGUCUCCCUGAGUCAUCGGCAUGGAGUGUGCUUCAAGCAGCUCCGCAUAAACACCGCCUUCAGACAGUGAAGGGAAAUAUUUUAACUCACCCACAUCCCAUAAAUGCGACUACAGAUCUCUUGAUGGCAGCAACAGAACUGUCAUCACCCUCGAUAAAUAGACAGGGUGUCACUUGUUUUUCCCUUAUUUCUUCCCCAUAGCCAUCUUUCGUGUAGCAUGGGGAUAUGUCAGGUAAAUCUGUGCCUUUUGCCCCUCUCCGGGAAGUGUGUGUACGAGGUGGGGGAGGCAGUCCGCCCAUGCACAGACAUCUCCGUGGCUCCUGUUGACUUCUAAGGGAGAUUCACAUAGGCAGGGGAGCGAUUGGGUCCCAGAUGCUCAAGAGAAAACGGCAGAGUAAUUCUCCACUGCUGCUUCCAUGUGCUUCAAAAAGACAUUAGAAAAGAGAGAAAUGCAUAACUGAAAGGUGCUGAAUAAUUUGGGGAAAUGGGGUCACGCCCACCCACCCAUUUGUAGAGCUUAGAGAUCUGUAUAAAGAUGCAAAUGAAUACAUCUGUUGUGUCAUUAAAUGCAACUGCAGCAACCUAGAUGAAAGGGAAAGUGAGUGAGGGAGAAGUGCUGACUGGUAACGGCACCACAAAGUUGUCUUCUGUGAUGAGGAUCUGCCGAGUGCAAAGCUCUAGGCUAGUACUCUGGGUCCCAGUUCAGCACCCAUUUAUUCUCUCUCCUUCCUUCCUUCUUCUUGUAGUCUUAUGGCCUGGCAUCAACCAGAGUUCCCCGUGCGCUUCCUAUGAAGGCUGUGGGAGCCGAUGGAUGUGGAACCAGUGGUUUAAUCCCCUCUUUCCCCUCCCUGUGGAGCCUGGCUACCUCGGCUGGUGUUUUGCAGGGAGGGGAGAGGACAGGACAAAGGCACCUGCGGCUCUGACGGACAGCAGGUCUCCACUGCUGGAAGCACCUCUGCCUCUGGGAAGGGACGGGGGACGAGGUCAAGUGACAACGCGUGUGCACGGGCUGCUGGCUAUCCAACAACAUAAAUGAGGAAUGCCCCAGCUCCGACAAAAUGACUUUUAUGUACACGUUUUCUCUUGGGGCAAGUGCAGAGGGAAAAGCACAGAUCCAUCGAAAACCAGUAAAAAACCUGCACCCCUCCUUGACUUGAGACCUACCCUCCAGAGGCAACCAACAGCUUCCAGACCAGCAUUUCAUUCUUUGUCCUUCCUAACGAGAACAACAGUAGACUUUAACCUCAACCUGAAUAUAAUGUUUUCACAGUAGAAAAUUAUCAUCUCUACACUUCGGAAGCAUUGGUGGUGUUUCCUGUUGACCACAUAAAAUCUCUAGCAUCUUUUCAAAUUGGAAUCCUUCCAUAAUAACUGCAUUUUGGAUUUCCAUAUGCUACAGAGAUGAGCAGAAUCAUUAUUAAAUCAUUAAUUUAGUGAUGUCUGAAAGACCCCAAUAGUCACCCUCUGAAAGGUUUUACUAGUAAACAUAAGGAUCAGUCUCUGCCCUGAAGAAUUGAGUAACUGAAAAAACAGUGGCAUCUUUAGUGCAGAGCAUCACCCUUACGCCUUUACUUACUCUGUUUUCCUUAAAUAUUUGUAACUACACUGUUAAAAAUUCCAAGUAAUGUGACUAAUGCCUGCAGGUUCCGGCAAUGACAGUAAUAUCAAAUUUCUUCUCAUCAAUGGGAAUUUCCAUUUCCAGCUUGCUUGUUCCCCUGAUGUCUAGGACUGCUGUAUAAGUAAUAGGAAAAUCUCUUUUCUUCACAACUUUAGCACAGCAGCUCAAUUUGUUUGCAGCAUGCUGAGCUUGAGUUCGUAUUGCAUUUGCCUUCUUAGCACCUUCCCUUUGUGUCAUUAGUCAAGCGACCGCCUGGCUGCUCCAGCUUGUUUCUGACAGAACGGAGUAGCUUUGAGAUGGAGGCCAUUCUGCUUGUACGUGGUGGCAUAUAUAUAAAAAAGACUAAAGGCGCAUUAUGAAACCUCCAGCAACUUGACUACACGCUGCAGCCACUUAUUUUCCACUGACACCAGAACACUCUUUUUUCCUACUCACCAGCUGGCGAGAGGUGUCAAGCGACAAUGCGAGCAGAUCGCGGGAGAAAUCGCUGCCGUCGAACACCAGACUUCAUUAGCAUGAGGACAACUGCAUCAGCCCUGCUGCUGCUGGUCCUUGAAGGCGCUUACACCCAGAGUACCCCUGUUCCUCGGUUCAUUCCUCAGUAGCUGGCAGGAGAUGGGAGAAAGGGCGCGCAUAAACCUCUGAGAAAUCAGUGUCGCAACAGAGGAUCUGCGGAAUCAGGUAUCAUCUGGAAAUUUCUUCCUCAGCAGUAACACCUUGCGUGCCAAGGAAUCGUACAGACCGACUAGCACUCCUCCUCCUCCUCCAUCCCACUCACAGCCGCUGUGCUGAUCUGGCUGUUUGUCAUCUGUCGUGUUGACGCAGUGCUGGGACAAACUAGCAGCAUGGGAACUUCUGCCACCUGGUCUGGUCAGCCGAGAAAGUUUAUAUCCUCUUUACAGGAGACCGACAUAAACUGAAAUUUGAUGACCAGGGGAGCGGGAGAAAAAAAGGUUUCUGUUGGUAGCCCUGGUCUGGAAGUGGGCAAUUAUCAAAUGGAGACCAAUUCGAUAAAGCCUCAAUUUAAGAAAGUACUUGAAUAUGUAGUUUCCUCUAAUCACGUCUCUACGAUGUUUCUUGUCUGGCAAAGCAUGUAAAUACAGGCAGCCUCCAGCAUGUGCUGAGGUACUCUGAGGUAGCAACCUCAACUGUGUAAAAAAAUGGUUGCUGUACUGUAGGGGAAAAUGACGACAUAAAGCAUUUCUCUAGGGCUGCCUGGCACUAAUGACUUUAAUACAGUGAGUUGAACAAACUUAUGUGGCAGCAGUGACUGUGAAGGAGGACUUUUAACUUGCCUACAAUAACUACCUUGCUAGGAGCUGAGUGUUUCAGUCAGCGUGAUGAAUAGUGAAUGGGAGCCAUAGGAAGGCCAGCGCACGGAGGCAGCGCAGCGAGCGGCUCUGGAUGGGGCAGGGUGCAGGACACAGCCGUACGGGAGCGUCUCUGGCAGCAGUACAGUGAUGCGGUGAAGCACGUGCUUAAUUCCUAAAGCUUGCAGCAAAAAGCUUGGCUGCACGGGGAAGGAUCUGCCAAAUCAGGACCUGGAACGCAGAAGUAAUACAGAUAAAGUUGCGCACAUGAGUGCUCGCUUCCCCCAAGAAACGUACACAUAGGUAAAUGCUGCGAGGUGCUGGCAAAGGGCCCGCGGCCUCACAUGAAUCCGUAGCAGAUUUAAGCCGUGCAGGAGUGUAAGUAUGAAAUACUGUGAUGAUGGUAUGGGUGGGUAUCCUAACACUGCUUAUACCACGGUCGUUCUUGGGCACUAGCAGACAGUGGCAUGAGAAGCAGCAGAGUUAAAGGAAGCAGCACUUACAGAGCUGAUGGAGGGCUGAAUGCAGAAACUCUCUUGCUUUGUGACUCUGCAUCCAUCCCAGGCUGACGUUCCAGCGCCUGUAGGUCUCCUUCUGCAAUCCGUCUCAGUACUGUUCACCAGACUGAGCCGUACUUCCAAUUAUAUUUAUAGGCCUAUUAGUGAAACUGGUGAUCUAUUCAUAGACAAGCCAUGAACACAAGAAGAGAGUCAAAUGCAGCCAAUAAAUUGCCUGCAAGAAGUAAACUGUGCCAUCAGCAAAAUUUUGUAUCUCUGUUGUUCUCCUCUUUCUCUUAGAUCGU